CCUACGGGAGGCAGCAGUGGGGAAUAUUGCACAAUGGGCGCAAGCCUGAUGCAGCCAUGCCGCGUGUAUGAAGAAGGCCUUCGGGUUGUAAAGUACUUUCAGCGGGGAGGAAGGGAGUAAAGUUAAUACCUUUGCUCAUUGACGUUACCCGCAGAAGAAGCACCGGCUAACUCCGUGCCAGCAGCCGCGGUAAUACGGAGGGUGCAAGCGUUAAUCGGAAUUACUGGGCGUAAAGCGCACGCAGGCGGUUUGUUAAGUCAGAUGUGAAAUCCCCGGGCUCAACCUGGGAACUGCAUCUGAUACUGGCAAGCUUGAGUCUCGUAGAGGGGGGUAGAAUUCCAGGUGUAGCGGUGAAAUGCGUAGAGAUCUGAAGGAAUACCAGUGGCGAAGGCGGCCCCCUGGACAAAGACUGACGCUCAGAUGCGAAAGCGUGGGGAGCAAACAGGAUUAGAUAC
rnacentral:rRNA from 1 species